rnacentral:rRNA from 1 species
CCUACGGGGGGCUGCAGUGGGGAAUAUUGCGCAAUGGGCGAAAGCCUGACGCAGCGACGCCGCGUGAGGGAUGAAGGUCUUCGGAUCGUAAACCUCUGUCAGUAGGGAAGAACGGUCACUGUGCUAAUCAGCAGUGAAUUGACGGUACCUGCAAAGGAAGCACCGGAUAACUCCGUGCCAGCAGCCGCGGUAAUACGGAGGGUGCGAGCGUUAAUCGGAAUUACUGGGCGUAAAGCGAUCGUAGGCGGUAUGUCAAGUCAAGGGUGAAAUCCCCGGGCUCAACGUGGGAACUGCAUUUGAUACUGGCAAACUGGAGUGUGGUAGAGGAUGGUGGAAUUCCUGGUGUAGGAGUGAAAUCCGUAGAUAUCUGGAAGAACAUCAGUGGCGAAGGCAGUUCACUAGACUGCAACUGACACUGAGGCUCGAAAGUGUGGGUAUCAAACAGGAUUAGAUACCCGUGUAGUC